rnacentral:lncRNA from 1 species
UUCAAUGAUUAGUAAAAAUAGAAACAAACCACGAUAGCAAAAGUGACAAAGAAGUUCCAGCCCCCAUUAUCCCAUUUACACAAUUCCAGAUUAUUUGUAGCAUUAUAAGGCCAACAUUACAACACAGGCUAAACUAAUGAGCUUCAGGUGCAAAGUAAAUUCCAGCACAAUAAUGUGACUCCAAAUUCUCUCCCAAUGCUCGAAUUAGGCCAUCCUGUAACAUCAUAGCCAAACCAGAACACAUAUGCAGCACACAUGAAGAUCAAAUUAUCGCGAAAAUAGAUUUAACUCGUUACUUGCAAAUAAUAUACCUUCAAGUAAUUGGUUCAAACUAUUUGCAGUUUAGUCAUGUAAAUAACCUGUUGAGAAAUACAACUCGAUAGUCUAUAACACAAACAAAGUUGUUGACUUCUCUUACUAUUAGUUCCUAAAUAGAGUAUCUCUAGUGUUCAAAUCAAAUAAACAAUUGUUCAAACUAAAUAAAGGGCAAGCAUUAUGGGAUAGCAAGUUUUCUGGAGGUUUUAUCCAUAGACUGAAUAUUUAGAUAAAUUAAAAUCCUAAGGACAUGGUAUCUAUAUGUUUGCGAACAUCCUGGCAGUAAUGUUAUAGCCAACAAAGCAAACAAAUAUAACUCUUAGCUUUCCGACAUACUAUCCACAACUGGACAUGUAGUAUAUUAGGCCAUUUAAUCCUAAACAUGGUGUCUAAGUGACAACAAGUGCAUUGAUUUAGGUAAGGUAGUUUUAAACACAUAAGACCGGAAAACAACCUUAAGGUUUAACGGAUGAAGUUUUAACAAUCCAAUGUCACCUUUUAUUAACUAAGAAAUACUUACUGAAAUGAUAUCUAUGCAACAUGAAUUCAGCUAUAUUCAAAGAGUGAAGAUCAUGGAACUUACGAAUAUCAUUCGAAGUCUUUUAGGCAGAAUUCCUAAACUAAAUCGAAGAUAAGUUGAUGCUACUCUUAUUUAUGCAAUCUUUAGUCCUAAUUAAAACAAAUGAUUUCCUAGUUACCAGAAUGCCAGAACAAAUCCUAAAAACCUUUAUAGUCAGGCUGUCUCAUAUUCAAAACAUCACAAGUAAAGUCAAAAGAUCAAAAACACACCUGGAUUUAAGAGACGUACCUGGUUAUUAUAUGGGCAUAAUUUCAAUAGAGUGCCGCAAGGCACUCGACAUGGCCAAGAGUAUACAGAACACACAAAUAGAGUAAAAGAAAACAAAAACUGAAGAGGAGGACUAGUCUAUUCUAAUAUAAUUACUAACACGUAAAGGAAUCGUAAUGUAUCGUUCAGGAAACUAAGCUGUUCGAAAGCGGAACAACAAUAUAAUAAGAAGAUUAGAAAUCCAGUAACUUCAAUAAUAACAAUUAAGCCCAAAUACUCUCCGAAGUGUGCAUAAUGAAGAACCAAUACUCAAACUUGAUACGUCCAGGUUGUAUCCAACGAAUAUCACGACUAGAACACUUUGUAUUGGACGAACAUAAAGAUUAAAGCUCUGCCUCGAUUUGUACCCGGAGGAACAGAGGAGCAGUAAAAGUAAAAGAAUAGCUAUAGUAGUAGUGAAAACCGUGAUCCUCCUUAGUGCAUAGAACUAGUCAGUAUUUAUAGUAGCGAAUUAGCCUUAGGGCGUGUCACUAUAAUGGAAAAGAAUCAUAAAACUACAUAUCAAAUAAAGAAAGAUUCAGAUUUUUUUAAAAGAUCAAAAUUCCCGUUAAGCAAGGAUUCAGGGACUGAAGCGAAAUUGGAGUAUUCGAACUAAAAAAUGAACCGUUGGUGAUUAAUUUUGGCAGAAAGAGAUUAUGAUUAUGGGAAAACUUCGCUUUACAUAAUCGAAAAAAUUCAGAAGAGAAUAUUGAUAAUUCAAUUUUCAAAACUCAAUCCAAUCGAUAAGAGAAAAUGAAGAAUAGGUGAAGUGCUUACCUCAAAACCUGUCCAUAUUCAUCUAACUAAUUUGAACCUACGGAUGCCGAGAUGGAAAGAAAAGUAUGCAAACCUUCAAUCACAACAGGGAUUUAGACCAAAAUUGAAGCUAAAAUCUCGGCUCUCAAUAGCAAUUUCGUUACAGAUUUGAAGAGGAAAAAACAAUUAAGGAAAGAAAAGAGAAAAAUAGAUAAAUAAGACAAAUCAAAGAAUUGG